GGUGGUUCUCGGGUGACGCACCCUGGAAUCGGGCUCCCUCCUUUCCAAUUCCAGGUGCAUCACCCGAGAACCCACC
rfam:Myotis brandtii contig157132, whole genome shotgun sequence.